AUUCCCUGGGGCGGCGUGGAAGGGAGGCAGCACCUCCAGGCGACAAGUAGAGCUGGGCCCUGGCGGGCUGCCACGGGGGUGUCUGGCAGUCUCUCCUGGGUCUAGGGCUGUUCCUCUGAGGUCACGAGGUGGUCCUUCGGGUGUGUCUGGGGUAAGCCCCUCUAGAAUCUGGGGGCGGCCUCCCGGGGGCCAUACUGCAUCACGUAGUGGAGUUGGGAAGAUAAAACCAGCACGUGUAAUGUAAUACAUGACAAUGGAAGAUUCUACGUAAUUAAGGGUUAACUCUGAAAUCAGAAGACAAGUUUUCCAAGACUUGGGAAGGUGGAGAGAUCAGAGAUCAGUGAGAGAACAAAGAAUCGGGGUCCAGAUGUCAGGGAUGGAAGUUGGAGAAAGAUGAGGCAGCAGCAGACACUUUCUCCUGUUGGCCUUAAAGAAGCAACCGCCUGUGCUGGGAGAGGGUCACUGGGCUGAGAUUGGUAGGUGGCUCUGGGAGCUGAGGGCCUAAACCUAUGACCACAAGGAACUGAAUUCAUCCCAAAGCCAGAGAGGUGGAAGACGACUCAGAAGAUGCAGAUGCCAAUGCCACAUCCUGGUGAGCAGCUGGAUUGCA
rnacentral:lncRNA from 1 species